rnacentral:rRNA from 1 species
ACGGGAGGCAGCAGUGGGGAAUAUUGCACAAUGGGGGAAACCCUGAUGCAGCGACGCCGCGUGAAGGAAGAAGUAUCUCGGUAUGUAAACUUCUAUCAGCAGGGAAGAUAAUGACGGUACCUGACUAAGAAGCCCCGGCUAACUACGUGCCAGCAGCCGCGGUAAUACGUAGGGGGCAAGCGUUAUCCGGAUUUACUGGGUGUAAAGGGAGCGUAGACGGAAUGGCAAGUCUGGUGUGAAAGGCAAGGGCUCAACCUUUGGACUGCACUGGAAACUGUCGUUCUUGAGUGCCGGAGGGGUAAGCGGAAUUCCUAGUGUAGCGGUGAAAUGCGUAGAUAUUAGGAGGAACACCAGUGGCGAAGGCGGCUUGCUGGACGACAACUGACGCUGAGGCGCGAAAGCGUGGGGAGCAAACAGGAUUAGAUACCCUGGUA